UACGUAGGGUCCGAGCGUUGUCCGGAAUUACUGGGCGUAAAGCGCACGUAGGCGGAUCGUUAAGUCGGGGGUGAAAUCCUGGAGCUCAACUCCAGAACUGCCUUCGAUACUGGCGAUCUUGAGUCCGGAAGAGGUGAGUGGAACUCCUAGUGUAGAGGUGGAAUUCGUAGAUAUUAGGAAGAACACCAGUGGCGAAGGCGGCUCACUGGUCCGGUACUGACGCUGAGGUGCGAAAGCGUGGGGAGCAAACAGG
rnacentral:rRNA from 1 species